UAUUGGUAUAAACGUUUAAUAAAAAUGCAUACAUACAUAACCCAUGGUCGGCAUGGAAUUUUGUCACUUGGCACAGCACUUUAAUGUUUUUUAAUGUUUGUCCCACAUUAAAAUAUAUUGAGUCAAUGACAGUGCAACUCUUCAUAUUAAAACGUUCUAAUCACAUUUUACAUGCACAUUUGUAUUCAGUAGUAAUCUUUUCAUAAAGGUACAUCAAAGUCCCAAAUCAAAUUCUUCACUGACAGUAUGUUAUUGACUCCCAAACGACAAGUAUUAUAAAACACGCUUCCAAGCUGAAAAGAAA